GCUUUCGUGGUGUAAUGGUCAGCACACUCGGUGCGUAUUCGAGAGGUGCGUGGUUCGAGUCCCGGCGAGGGCA
rfam:Stegodyphus mimosarum contig60204, whole genome shotgun sequence.